rnacentral:misc_RNA from 1 species
GAUGAAGAACGCAGCGAAAUGCGAUAAGUAAUGUGAAUUGCAGAAUUCAGUGAAUCAUCGAAUCUUUGAACGCACCUUGCGCCCUUUGGCCAUUCCGAAGGGCAUGCCUGUUUGAGUAUCAUGAACACCUCAACUCUCAUGGCUCGCCAUGAUGAGCUUGGAUUUGGGGGUCUUGCUGGCCUGUGGUCGGCUCCUCUCAAAUGGAUCAGCUUGCCAGUGUUUGGUGGCAUCACAGGUGUGAUAACUAUCUGCGCUUGUGGUUUUCCAUCAGAUAACCUUCAGUGAUGGAGGUUCGCUGGAGCUCAUAAACGUCUCCCCUAAGCGGGGACAGCCCUUUGAAUGUUUGAUCUCAAAUCAGGUAGGACUACCCGCUGAACUUAAGCAUAUCAAUAAGCGGAGG